rnacentral:rRNA from 1 species
UCAACUUGAGAGUUUGAUCCUGGCUCAGAACGAACGCUGGCGGCAGGCUUAACACAUGCAAGUCGAGCGCCCCUCCUUCAAGCAAGCUUGAAGGUCCUUUGGCCGAAGGCCAGGAAAGAGGAUCAAGAAAGCCGAGCUUUCUUGAUGGAGGGGAGCGGCAGACGGGUGAGUAACGCGUGGGAAUCUACCUAGCUCUACGGAAUAACCCAGGGAAACUUGGACUAAUACCGUAUACGUCCGAGAGGAGAAAGAUUUAUCGGAGUUAGAUGAGCCCGCGUUGGAUUAGCUAGUUGGUGGGGUAAAGGCCUACCAAGGCGACGAUCCAUAGCUGGUCUGAGAGGAUGAUCAGCCACACUGGGACUGAGACACGGCCCAGACUCCUACGGGAGGCAGCAGUGGGGAAUAUUGGACAAUGGGCGCAAGCCUGAUCCAGCCAUGCCGCGUGAGUGAUGACGGCCUUAGGGUUGUAAAGCUCUUUCAACGGUGAAGAUAAUGACGGUAACCGUAGAAGAAGCCCCGGCUAACUUCGUGCCAGCAGCCGCGGUAAUACGAAGGGGGCUAGCGUUGUUCGGAAUUACUGGGCGUAAAGCGCACGUAGGCGGAUACUUAAGUCAGGGGUGAAAUCCCGGGGCUCAACCCCGGAACUGCCUUUGAUACUGGGUAUCUAGAGUAUGGUAGAGGUGAGUGGAAUUCCGAGUGUAGAGGUGAAAUUCGUAGAUAUUCGGAGGAACACCAGUGGCGAAGGCGGCUCACUGGACCAUUACUGACGCUGAG